CCUACGGGAGGCAGCAGUGAGGAAUAUUGGUCAAUGGACGAGAGUCUGAACCAGCCAAGUAGCGUGAAGGAUGACUGCCCUAUGGGUUGUAAACUUCUUUUAUAUGGGAAUAAAACGUUCCACGUGUGGGAUUUUGUAUGUACCAUAUGAAUAAGGAUCGGCUAACUCCGUGCCAGCAGCCGCGGUAAUACGGAGGAUCCGAGCGUUAUCCGGAUUUAUUGGGUUUAAAGGGAGCGUAGGUGGAUUGUUAAGUCAGUUGUGAAAGUUUGCGGCUCAACCGUAAAAUUGCAGUUGAAACUGGCAGUCUUGAGUACAGUAGAGGUGGGCGGAAUUCGUGGUGUAGCGGUGAAAUGCUUAGAUAUCACGAAGAACUCCGAUUGCGAAGGCAGUUCACUGGACUGCAACUGACACCGAGGCUCGAAAGUGUGGGUAUCAAACAGGAUUAGAUACCCGAGUAGUC
rnacentral:rRNA from 1 species